AUUAAGUGUCUUGAGGAUUAGCAUAACGAAAAGUCUCGUGUCUGUGAGGAAGAGCAACUCAUUAAAUGGUUAUGUGCCUUAUGCAGAGGGAUCAAACAAACUGGGAUCAUUUGGACAUGGGCCAACACAGGCAAAGGGAGGGCUGGAUGAUCUUUGAAGUCUCUUCCAACUGGAUGUAUUCAAUGAUGAGGAAAGUGAGUCAUAGGUAUGAUUCAGAACCUCGGAGGAUCACAGCACACAGACAACUCAAAGGUUGCAUCAAAUAAUGUAUCUGCAACUCUGAAGAGGCUCCAGGUUAUGAAGCUUUGCCAUCUUCCUUAUGACUGGAUGCAUUUGCUGCCUCUGUGUUUGAUGUGCCAGGACAGUGGUCAUUUCAUCAAGUGCUUUGUCCUCAUACCUGCUGAAGGAAGCUGCAGAGGGAGGCACUGAAGUAAUGCACCAAAUCAACAUGGUAAAUUACACACAGCAGAACACUAAAUACAGGAAAAAAAAAAGCAAAGAGAAGACUGAGACUGGAUGAUCUUGGAGGUCUCUUCCAACCUGGUUGAUUCUACGAUUCUAUGACUAAGAGCAAGCAAAAGGUGUGUGAAGGUUGAGAGCACUACCUACAUCUCAGGAAACCAGCUCGCCAGAAUAAUACUGGGACACACUGAGAAGAUCAGGACUGUUUGCUUGAUUGAUGCGGAG